rnacentral:rRNA from 1 species
CAGCAGCCGCGGUAAUACGUAGGGUGCGAGCGUUAAUCGGAAUUACUGGGCGUAAAGCGUGCGCAGGCGGUUGUGCAAGACAGAUGUGAAAUCCCCGAGCUUAACUUGGGAACUGCAUUUGUGACUGCACGGCUAGAGUGUGUCAGAGGGGGGUAGAAUUCCACGUGUAGCAGUGAAAUGCGUAGAUAUGUGGAGGAAUACCGAUGGCGAAGGCAGCCCCCUGGGAUAACACUGACGCUCAUGCACGAAAGCGUGGGGAGCAGACAGGAUUAGAUACCCGGGUAGUCCCUGUCUCUUAUAC